CAAAGGGGUAAUUAAUAUUUUUUAUGAAUGUCAAACCAAAGUUGCCAAACAAUAUUAAUGACUAAGAAGUCAAUAGUAUUUAGGAAAAUGUCAACACAAUUAAAAGUGGUGAUUCUUAUUUUAUUAGGCUGCAUCAAGAUAUCUACUUGUAGAUUAUUUAUUGUACUCAAGAUUAUUUUAAACAAAAGACUAAUAGAUUUUAAUAAAAUUUCCUAUUUGACUAGGAUUAUUGUGUUUUGGUGCAACUCCCUAUUAAUUUUUUUAACGGUAAAUGGCAUUUUGACCUCAUUGUAGUUGUGGUUACGAACUUUUGCAGAUGAUUCAUUUCUGCUCGUAGUAUUAGCGCAGAACCCCUUUGUGGUUGUCAGAGAUAGCUUCUGUUAUUUUUUCGUUAAAAUUAACUGCAUGUGUCAAACGUCAAAAUAUCAUAUUUUGCAGAUGAUCCCCUUGUGCCUA